UUUAAAGCAAUAUGCUCUCACUGUCCCAGUUUAAAAAAUGUAGCAUAUUCACAAUUGAAAACAUGCACCUACAUUCUCUGUCUUUAUGUUUUAAUCCUUAUACUUAAGUUCCUACCUCCCCCACUCCGAUUGCUCCAUUCCAGCAAGACUGAAAUUCAGUUUCCUGGCCUGCUCCAGGGGGACCUUCCCACAUGUACAGCACUAUGCGGCAGGGAGUCAUGCAAGGAGCAGAGGGAGAAAACAAAGGCAAAGAAGAGCAGAACACAUAAAAGACAUGAUAAGGAGAACUUCUGCUGCGCAAUCAUCUUGCCACUCUACCUGAAAAAGUCUGAAUGUUCCUUUUUCAGAAACUCACUAAUGCUCUUCAGGCAGGACAUUAGAGUGAUGGGAAGC